GCCAGGUGUGGUGACGGGCACCUGUAAUCCAACCUACUAGGAGGCUGAGACAGGAGAAUCGCUUGAACCCAGGAGGCAGAGUUUGCAGUGAGCCGAGAUCAUGCCACUGCACUCCAGCCUGGGCGAUAGAGCGAGACUCCGUCUCAA
rnacentral:SRP_RNA from 1 species